GGAUGUGAGGGUGAUCUGGCUGUGACAUCUGUCACCCCAUUGAUCGCCAGGGUUGAUUUGGCUGAUCUGGCUGGCUAGGCUGGUAUCCCCUUCCUCCCUCAAUGAUCCAUGUGUGACCCUUCUGAAGCUGCGUGCUCGGUCAAAGAGGACAACUACCUCCAAUAGAGGAGGACCAUUCCUCGGUCAAGGGUAUAGGAGUAGCUGCGCUCCCCUGCUAGAACUUCCAAACAAGCUCUUAAUUCAAUGAACAGAAAGAUUUGUUCUAAUAGUAUCUGUGGACAGGAUAUCAUGUU
rnacentral:snRNA from 1 species